rnacentral:lncRNA from 1 species
CAGCUCAGACAAGUGAAAUAUAGAGGGUAAACUGGAGCUUUCGAGAUGACGGGAAGUCGUACGAUGAUCCUGUUCUUGGUCUUGGUCGCACUCGCUUCCCUUGCUCACGUGAACGGACAAUAUGAUGUGGAACCAUAUUCGUUAACCACCAGUCCCAGUAGCUCACGCUGGUCCUGGCCAUCGUGGAGUAGAUGCUGGAAGCGGCACGAAGAAUACAAGAGCUGUGUCAGCGGUAGCUGCAGCGAGUGGAAGUGCAAUUACCUGUAUAGAGGCUGGCCUGACGCAUGUACCUUGGACUGCAUGAGCGGCUGUUUCUGUAAGAAAGGUUACUUCCGCAAUCGCCGUGGCAAUUGUGUACUCGGAUAUCGCUGCUUCAGAGAUAUAUUACCUGUUGUGCGAUCCUUCGAUGAGUAAUGCCAACCAAGCAAUAACGACGGCCGUUUUUCUGGUGUACAAUUCUUCAUUUCCUCCAUGGAAGAAAUGAAACACGCUAGGAAAAUGCAACAAUAAAGUUUUGAAGGAACACUGAA